rnacentral:rRNA from 1 species
UCAGACGAUGCGUCAUGCAUAUCAAUAAGCGGAGGAAAAGAAACUAACAAGGAUUCCCCUAGUAACGGCGAGUGAAGCGGGAAGAGCUCAAAUUUGAAAUCUUAAAGGGUUUCCCCUUACGAAUUGUAGUUUAAAGAAGUGUUUUCUGUUGAGGUUUUGGUAAAAGUUCUUUGGAAUAGGACAUCAUAGAGGGUGAGAAUCCCGUAUUUGACCUUUACUUUCAACCUUGUGAUACACUUUCAAAGAGUCGGAUUGUUUGGGAAUGCAGUCCAAAAUGGGUGGUAAAUUUCAUCUAAAGCUAAAUAUUGGCGAGAGACCGAUAGCGAACAAGUACUGUGAGGGAAAGAUGAAAAGAACUUUGAAAAGAGAGUUAAACAGUACGUGAAAUUGUCAAAAGGGAAGCGUUUGACACCAGUGUUGUUUUUCUGAAAAUCAAUUAAAGAACUGUUUAUGCUAAGCUGUUUAGACUUUAUCAGCUAUCUGUUUAGUUUUAGGCUUUUCUUUAAUGCACUUUUCAGUUAACAAGUCAACAUCAAUUUCUUUUGCUGUAAAAAAGCUUGAGGAAGGUGGCUUGAGAUUCGUCUUAAGUGUUUAUAGCCUCUUGCCUAUGCAGUCGGAGAGAUUGAGGUCUGCAGCGUAGAUCCUUCGGGGCUAAAUGCAUUUGUGCUAAGUUAUAGCAUUUUAUAGACAACUUGUUGACUAUGAUUUGUCUUGUAGCUUACUCGCUUAUGUUAUUUUACCUACGCUUAGGAUGUUGACACACGCGCGUGCUCG